CUCCGGGCACCCGCGGGCUGCUGUGCCCAGGGGACACCUGCUGGGGGCUGCAUCUCGUCCAGUCUCUCCGGGGGGCCUGGGCAGGGAAGGGGGCACAGCUGUGUGGUCUGCGGCAUGAAAACGAAGGGUCUAAUUCUGCAGGCAAGGCUGGCCUCCUAUUCCUGACCUGAAAUGAAUCUCUUCCCUCAGCUUUAUGAGUGGGAAUACAGGGAUACGCGUGGAAUCAGAAUCUAAGGGUGCUUACCUGCCUAAUUGUGAUACCUACCCUUGGUUAGCAACUUGACUGACCUGAAAUUAGCUGAAAUCCAAAAAUGGACGACAUAUACUUCUAAGGGGUUUUUGCUUAAUAUAAAGUAAGAAGAUCCACUUUUAAUCAGGAUCUUGAUGUGGAAAGACACACCUUUCAUUGGGAUCUGGAGACGGGGACACCCACUUGUACUCUGGGCCACACCUUCUGCUGGAAGCCCAUGUAAGGAAAUGGAAGAAGGAAGCUUUUGCUCUUUGCCUGCUUCCUCUUUACCAGCAACUCCACUCCUUCACCAGAUUAAAGCCUACUUCAGGAUUCCAGUGUAUAUGGGAGACCAGCUUAGACAUCCAUCCUUGUAGACCGAACAACUACUGGAUUCUCAGGCUUUCUGUUCAUAGACAGCCAUUGUUGGAUUAGCUGGACUACAACCUAUAAGUUAUUCUAAUACACACACACACACAUACAUGUCCUGUUAAUCAUCUAGAAAAUUGAAUAAUAUAAAUUUUUGGUACCAGAGGUCGGAAUAAUAUAGCUUUUGCUCUUCUAGAAGUAUAAGGAUAACUCUUUAACAUAUUUGGAAUAGGCUUUCCCAUUUGCCAACACAUACAGUUACCCAGUCCCCCCCCCCCCCCAGUUACUGAAGCCUCUCCUGAGGGCUCAGAGAAUAAUAAAAGCCCAAUGGUGUGAAAUAUUUUAUAAAUAUAAGGAAAUAAAAGUUUUUGAUUAUUCUGAUUCAAACUUUUGACAGUUUGCGAUUACAAUAAGGAAA